rnacentral:rRNA from 1 species
CGUAGGGGGCUAGCGUUGUCCGGAAUCAUUGGGCGUAAAGAGCGUGUAGGCGGUCCGGUAAGUCCGCUGUGAAAGUCGGGGGCUCAACCCUCGAAUGCCGGUGGAUACUGUCGGGCUAGAGUGCGGAAGAGGCGAGUGGAAUUCCUGGUGUAGCGGUGAAAUGCGCAGAUAUCAGGAGGAACACCUAUUGCGAAGGCAGCUCGCUGGGACGUAACUGACGCUGAGACGCGAAAGCGUGGGGAGCAAACAGGAUUAGAUACCCUGGUAGUCCACGCUGUAAACGAUGGGCACUAGGUAUGGGGGGUGUCGACUCCCUCCGUGCCGAAGCUAACGCAUUAAGUGCCCCGCCUGGGGAGUACGGCCGCAAGGCUA